rnacentral:rRNA from 1 species
UACAGAGGGUGCGAGCGUUGUUCGGAAUUACUGGGCGUAAAGCGCGCGCAGGCGGCUUCCUAAGUCCGUCGGUGAAAGACCGGGGCUCAACCCCGUGUCAGCCAUGGAUACUGGGAGGCUGGAGACAGGUAGAGGCAAGCGGAAUUCCGGGUGUAGCGGUGGAAUGCGUAGAUAGUCCGGAAGAACACCGGAGGCGAAGGCGGCUUGCUGGACCUGGUCUGACGCUGAGGCGCGAAAGCGUGGGGAGCGAACAGG